CCCCCAGUAACGGCGAGUGAAGUGGGAAAAGCCCAGCGUUGAACCGUUUUGAUUCUUUAUUAAAACGGGAUUUGACGUUUCGAAUUGUGCAUCUGCGAUUGCUCUGAUCCUGCUCAAGUCCCAAUGAACUGGGCCGCAAGGAGGGUGUCACGCCCGUAAAGUCAGGUGAAGGGUGCGUGCUGCACGAUUCGUCGAGUCGGGUUGUUUGGGAAUGCAGCCCAAAGUGGGAGGUAAGCUUCUCCUAAGGCUAAAUACUAUGGUGAGACCGAUAGCGAACAAGUACCGUGAGGGAAAGUUGAAAAGCACUCUGAAGAGAGAGUUAAAUAGUACGUGAAACCGUUAAGAGGUAAACGAUCGGAGUGUCAUGAUGUCCACUGAGGUUCAAUGCUCUGGACCGUGUUUUUCGCGGCGAGGGGCAUGCACUUCUCAGCGGACUGUGCUACGGCCCAUUGCGGCGGCAGCGAAGUGCGGCUUUUACUGGAAGCGUCUUAGCUUGCUUGGACGCGGAAUGAGAGUUUGCACGGCCUGCUCUGCGAUGGCGCAUAAGCCUGCGGUCUGGAUCCCUCCGGACCGGCAUCACUGCGGUGCGAUGGCUGGCAAGGGUAGGAUGCAUAUYUCGGUAUGUUUUCARCUCGGUGUCGGUCGUCGUGUUGUUGGCGUUGUUUGUAGGCACGAGUCUGUAGCCUCCACGUAAAACUCUUAUCGACCCGUCUUGAAACACGGACCAAGGAGUCUAACAUGUGUGCGAGUCUUGAGGGUGUUGAAACCCGCAGGCGCAAUGAAAGUAAACUCUAGGCGGCAACCCAUUCUCGUAGUGGACGCACCGCCGUCCCGUCCUAUGUAUUGAUACAUACAGGGCGGCGAAAGAGCAUACACGUUGGGACCCGAAAGAUGGUGAACUAUGCCUGAACAGGAUGAAGCCAGGGGAAACCCUGGUGGAGGUCCGUAGCGAUUCUGACGUGCAAAUCGAUCGUCUGAUUUGGGUAUAGGGGCGA
rnacentral:rRNA from 1 species